rnacentral:rRNA from 1 species
AAAACAUUGAGAUUCAUGACUGGGGUGAAGUCGUAACAAGGUAACCGUAGGGGAACCUGCGGUUGGAUCACCUCCUUA